rnacentral:rRNA from 1 species
CCCGACUGCUAUUUGGGUGAGAAUAAGCCAUGCGAGUCGAAUGGGAUGCCUAAAUCUCCCAUGGCAAACUGCUCAGUAACACAUGAUCAACUUACCCUACAGAGAAAAAUAACCUCGGGAAACUGAGGAUAAUGUUUCAUAGUUGAAUAGGCUUGGAAAAGUUUUUCAAUAAAAGGGAUAAGGAAAAUGGUCCUUAUCCGCUAUAGGAUAGGAUCGUGUUCGAUUAUGGUUGUUGGUGAGGUAACGGCUCACCGAGCCGAUAAUCGAUAGGGGCCGUGAGAGCGGGAGCCCCGAGAUGGGUACUGAGACAACGACCCAGGCCUUACGAGGCGCAGCAGGCGCGGAACCUCCGCAAUACACGAAAGUGUGACGGGGUUACCCAAAGUGCUCUUUCUAGAGCUGUGGUAGGUGAGUAAUGUUCCCUACUAGAAAGGAGAGGGCAAGGCUGGUGCCAGCCGCCGCGGUAAAACCAGCUCUUCAAGUGGUCGGGAUAAUGUUGGGCUUAAAGUGUCCGUAGCCGGUUUAGGAGGUUCCUGGUAAAAUCAGGUAGCUUAACUAUCCGUAUGCUAGGAAUACUGCUAUACUAGAGGGCGGGAGAGGUCUGAGGUACUACAGGGGUAGGGGUGAAAUCUUAUAAUCCUUGUAGGACCACCAGUGGCGAAGGCGUCAGACUGGAACGCGCCUGACGGUGAGGGACGAAAGCCAGGGGGGCGAACCGGAUUAGAUACCCGGGUAGUCCUGGCCGUAAACGAUGCAUACUAGGUGAUGGUACGGCCAUGAGCCGUGUCGGUGCCGUAGGGAAACCGUUAAGUGUGCCGCCUGGGAAGUACGGUCGCAAGGCUAAAACUUAAAGGAAUUGGCGGGGGAGCACCACAAGGGGUGAAGCCUGCGGUUCA